rnacentral:lncRNA from 1 species
UUCUUGUCAAAGAGAGUCUUGAGAAGAAAGAAGAAUCUUCUUCAACCAUCAAGAUGCUAUCUCUGUAAGAGAGCUAGCAUCUCGAUGAGAUCAAAAAAUUUUUGAUUAGAUCAAGACCCUGUGUGGAUACUUGUAAAGAUCGGAUGCUUGUGCAGCUUCAAGGGAUCUUCUGAAGACAUACAAAAUUAUCAGUUUGCUGGUGAAGAUCGGCCCAUGCAAAGAUCUAGACUUGGAGAAAGAAAAAGUAAAAUAGGUACAUGAUCCGAUCGCU